GGUCCUAGGAUGCCAGUAGAAGCUGUGGGCUUUGUACAUAUUAGUAACCGCCCUAAAACAGAUGCUUGGCUCGAGAAUGUAAAUAAUAGAGACAGCUUAAGAACAGAAGCUCAGCUCAAGUUUGUAAAUAGUAACAAUGCGGGCUCAAAAGUGGAAAAUCAUUUUGAAGAUGAGGGUGAUAAGUUUGAUUAGAGGUGUGCAGCUA
rnacentral:misc_RNA from 1 species